rnacentral:rRNA from 1 species
CCUACGGGGAGCAGCAGUGAGGAAUAUUGGUCAAUGGCCGAGAGGCUGAACCAGCCAAGUAGCGUGAGGGAAGACGGCCCUACGGGUUGUAAACCUCUUUUGUCGGGGAGCAAAGCGAGUCACGUGUGACUCAUUGAGAGUACCCGAAGGAAAAGCAUCGGUUAACUCCGUGCCAGCAGCAGGGGUAAUACGGAGGGUGAGAGCGUUAUCCGGAUUUAUUGGGUUUGAAGGGUGCGCAGGCGGAGGGGUAAGUCCGCGGUAACAUUGCGGGGCUCAACCCCGUACUGCCGUUGAAACUGUAUCCCUUGAGUGCGCGAGAAGUAUGCGGCAUGCGUGGUGUAGCGGUGAAAUGCAUAGAUAUCACGCAGAACUCCGAUUGCGAAGGCAGCAUACCGGCGCGCAACUGACGCUCAUGCACGAAAGCGUGGGUAUCGAACAGGAUUAGAUACCCGGGUAGUC